UUAAGAGUCAGAUGCUCAUCAGACUGAGCCAUGCAAACACCCUGAGGUUUAUUUUAUUCUAUUAUAAUUUAAACAGUACCAGAUCUGAAUAUCAGAGUGUCUCAAUACUGGUUUUGCCUUAGACUUUCAUGGAAAGGGGUGAACAUGUGGCAUUUUGGAGAUUUACAGUAGGGGUUGUUUUGCAAGCAGAAGUCUCAAGAUACCUGAAUAGGAAAUGUUUUUCUCUAUAGUUAGUAAGUUUCAAGGAGGCAAAGAAUACUAAUCUUAGCUAAUCAAUAAUGAGACAAAAGGUGGGAAACUGAAGGGUCUGUGUCUGGCCUUGUCAGCAGGUUUGGGCAAAAGAGAAAGGUCUGUGUUUGUUGGCUUUGUCAAACAUAAUCUGUCUGAAAACACUAUUAAGGAUUAGAGUAAUUUGUGUGGAAUUUUGGUGAAAGUUCAUUGAAAUAGUCAACAAAGUCAGCCUUUCUUGUUGGCUCUGUUCUUGGAGAAAGCGCUGAACCAUCCGUUGUGCUCUGACAGUGGUUUAGAACUGAGAAGGGUUCUAGAGACAAGUAUUUAAUCAGGGGAUACAUACAGGAAUAAGCAGAAAGAAUAUUAUUAGAAAUUAUAUGAAGGAGUAAAACCAAGACUUGAGAUCAGUCUAGUGGAUUCCAGAAUAUUAGUGUGGUAGAGUCCGUUGACAGUGGGGUCAGCACUGCAGUGACAAUGGGGUGCAUUUCUUCAUUAGCAACUUGAACUAUAUUUAUGAUGUAGAAGUCAGAGAAAUUUGGGGGAACACAUAUGCAGCAGUCACUUUCAAACAGCACAUGUCUCGCCUAUGGAUGCGAAGAUCAGACCAAGGGCCACUCAGUUGUGGAGCACUGUGUGUUGAGUCUUUUGAAAUUCUUGGACAAGAAGUUCAAUGUUCUUCAUCACACUAUUUGUAGUGAUGGCUAUCUCCUGUAGUCGGACAUGGAAGAUGUGAGAGUUUUGACUCCCUUCUUGAGUAGCCCAUAGUGGAGAUGCUCUAGGCAAAAACGUGGCUCAAAUGUGGUCAGAUACAAGAGCCAAGUCCUUGAGAUCUCCUACCAAGCUCUCAGCUUCCCUUGCAAGGGUGUCAUCAGGUCCAACAGAGAAAGGAAGACUAUAUUAACAUUUUGAUUCACAUUUUCAGGAAACACAGUUACUGGUAGACUGUUAAGAUCAAUGAUAGUCAUUGAAGAGGACAAAGAGGAAUUUAAAUACUUUAAGAAAGCCGUUAGACUACAUAUCCGGUAAGGACUGACAAGACUGGCUAGGUUAUGAGCCUGUCCAGUAUGCUAGGGUCUACUUCCAUAAAUGAAAUAAGGUGUCUUUUGGAAUAACCAAGGAAAAUGGGGCAAUUUUUUUUUUUUUUUUUUUUUUUUUGCCAUAAUGUCAUCCUUUCUACCAUAUAGAAGCUGAGAAAAAGGUAUAGCUUUAAGGAGAAUAUCAUAUCCCGACUGGGACUUUUCCAUAUGUAAAACUUUUUGCCCCCCCCCCCCAUGGCAGCACCCAUGGUGGAGUUGAUUUUAGGUUGCAUUUUCUUUGGGAAACGAUGAAUAGUUACAAGUACUGUCAUUAGAGUUGGCAGAGUAAAAGAUGUACAAUUGACUCUUGAACAACACAGGAGAAUGGGGUGCCAACCCCCUGCACAGUUGACAAUCCACAUGUAAUUUUGACCCUCCCAAAAACUUAGUUACUGAUAGCCUACUGUUGACCAGAAGUCUUACCAAUAACCUAAACAAUUGAUUAAUACUUAUUUUGUGUGUUAUAUGUAUUAUAGACAGUGUAUUUAUAAUAAAGUAAGCUAGAGAAAAGGAAAUGUUGUUAAGAAAAUUGUAAGGUACAGAAAAUACAUUUAUAGCUCUGUACUGUA